rnacentral:lncRNA from 1 species
AAGUAAUUGCUCAAGAAAAUGAAAGGCAGAGACCCUAGUCACCACUAGAACGGGUCUUAAGUCUAUCAAUUUUUGAAAGUGAUGAAGAUGAAGGAGAGUCUGGGGUGCUCACUAUAAUUGAAAAACAACCUGAAUGGAUUAGAUCUAGACCACACCGGUGGGAAUAUUUAAGGCCACCACCAUCAGUUGUCACUAAAGAACCAAAAACAAGGGUAAAUCUGAAACAGUUACCAACAAAUCUGAACUAUGUAUUUCUGGACACUAAGAAAAAAUGUCUCGCUACUAUAAAUGCCAAUCUACAAAGUGUCCAAGAAGCAGAACUCAUUCAAGUGCUAAAAAAAUACAAAGGUGCAAUCGGAUGGGAAAUUGAGGACUUGAAAGGUAUAAGCCCGACCGUUUGCUUGCACAAGAUCUUAAUGGAAGAUGAUCACAAACCGGUGGUGCAACCACAAUGAAGACUUAGCCCAACCAUGAAAGAAGUGGUACGCAAAGAAGUUGUAAAACUCUUGGAUGCGGGCCUAAUUUAUCCUAUUUCCGAUAGUUCUUGGGUAAGUCCAGUCCAUGUGGUACCAAAAAAAGGGGGCACUACGGUGAUAAAAAAUGAGAAGAAUGAGUUGAUUCCAACCCGAACUAUUAUAGGUUGGAGAGUGUGCAUAGAUUACAGAAGACUAAACGUGGCAACACGGAAGGAUCACUUCCCGUUACAAUUCAUUGAUCAAAUAUUGGAAAGGUUAGCCGGACACGAUUACUAUAUUGUUUCUUAGAUGGUUACUCGAGGUACAACCAGAUUGUUGUUGCCCCUGAAGAUCAAGGGAAGACUGCAUUCACAUGCUCCUAUGGUAUUUUUGCUUAUAGAAGAAUGCCAUUUGGGUUGUGCAACGCACCGACCACUUUUCAAAGGUGUAUGACAUCAAUCUUUGUUGACAUGCUCGAAAAGCAUACAGAAGUAUUUAUGGAUGACUUUUCAGUAUUCGGUUCUUUAUUUGAUAAUUUUUUGACUAACUUAUCACUUGUGUUAGAAAGAUGCCAGCAAACAAAUUUGAUCCUGAAUUAGGAAAAAUGUCACUUCAUGGUACGUGAAGGAAUAGUCUUGGGACACAAGAUCUCCAACCAACGUAUCAAAGUGGACAUAGAAAAAGUGGAGGUAAUAGAAAAUUUACCACCUCCGGGAAAUGAAAAAGGCAUCUGAAGCUUCUUGGGACAUGCGGGGUUCUACCGCAGGUUCAUAAGAGAUUUCUCCAAGCUCGCAAAACCAUUAACUAGUCUACUGGUGAAGGAUACACCAUUCCUAUUUGACAAGGAGUGCAUACAAGCCUUCGAGACCUUGAAGAAGGAACUUGUGUCAGCCCCAAUAGUUAUUGUCCCCGAUUGGUCUCUUCCUUUUGAGAUAAUGUGCGAUGCUAGUGAUAACGCGGUAGGGGCAGUACUAGGGCAACGCAAAGAGAAGCUCUUGCAUGUGAUCUAUUAUGCAAGCCAUGUAUUGAACCCUACUCAAAUGAACUAUGCAGCCACUGAAAAAGAACUCCUAGCGGUGGUGUACGCAUUUGACAAGUUCAGAUCCUAUUUGUUGGGAUUAAAGGUAAUUGUAUAUUGACCAUGCUGCUUUAAAAUAUCUUUUUGCCAAACAGGAAUCAAAGCCAAGGCUGCUACGAUGGAUCAUACUACUACAAGAAUUCGACCUGGAAACCAGAGACAAAAAAGGUAGUGAAAGCACUGUUGCUGAUCACUUGUCUCGGAUGACUCCGAUUCAAGAAACAAAAGAAACACACCCCAUCAGAGAUGAGUUCACCGACGGACGUAUCCUAGCCGUUACGUAUAUCCCAUGGUUCGCCGUAUACGCGAACUUUGUGGUAGGUGGACUAAUACCUGAUGACUUUGACUCUAACAAAAGAAAAAAGUUUUUGCAUGAUUGCAGGUUUUAUGUGUGGGACGAUCCAUUCCUUUACAAAAAGGGAGUAGAUGGCCUGGUCAGGAGAUGUGUUCCAGAGGAAGAGCAAAGGGACAUCCUAAAAGCCUGUCACAACUCAGAAUAUGGAGGACAUUUUAGCGGAGAUAGAACCGCAGCAAAAUUCCUCCAGUCUGGAUUAUACUGGCCUACACUGUUCAAAGAUGCACAAGAAGUGGUAAAAGAGUGCGACAGAUGUUAGAGGACAGGAAACAUAUCCAAGAGAAAUCAGAUGCCUCAGAAUGCAAUGUUAGAGGUAGAACUAUUCGAUGUGUGGGGAAUAGAUUUUAUGGGACCCUUCCCACCGUCCUUUGGAAAGCAAUACAUUAUGGUCGCUGUUGACUAUGUGUCGAAAUGGGUGGAAGCAGUAGCAUUGCCCACGAAUGACGCGAAAGUGGUAAUAAAUUUCCUCAAGAAUUAUAUCUUUGCAGGUUUAGGGUACCAAGAGCACUGAUUAGUGACGAAGGUAUGCACUUCCUCAACAAGCUGAUGGAGAACCUGCUGAGGAAAUACAAUGUCAAAUAUAGAAUCACCACACCAUACUACCCCCAGACUAGUGGACAGGUUGAGGUAUCAAAUCGGCAGAUCAAGCAAAUCCUAGAAAAGACUGUUAGCGCCUCACGAAAAGAUUGGUCAAUCAAUCUAGAUGAUGCAUUCUGGUCGUACCAAACAGCGUUCAAAACACCAAUAGGUAUGUCCCCGUAUCAACUGGUGUAUGGUAAAGCUUGUCAUUUACCACUCAAACUUGAGCACAAGACAUUCUGGGCUACCAAAUUCCUCAACUAUGAUCUUUCCAAGGCUGGUAAAUCUCGGAUCCUCCAAUUACAAGAGCUGGAAGAAUUUAGAAAUCGAGCAUAUGAGAAUGCAAAGAUAUACAAAGAGCAAACCAAAACAUGACAUGACAUGCACAUUCAGAAGAAAGAACUUCAGGAAGGACAACUGGUCCUAUUAUUAAAUUCAAGGUUGAAGCUAUUCCCAGGGAAACUAAGGUCAAGAUGGUCGAGACCCUUUGUGAUACAAAAAGUAUUUUGGCAUGGAGUCGUCGAACUAAGAAAUCCCGCAAAUGGAGAAGCGUUCAAGGUGAAUGGGCAGAGAGUCAAACCGUACCUACAAGACCAAAAGGGUGGUCUAAUAGACAAAAUCCGUCUCAACUAAUUAGACAGAGAACCGUCGAGCCAUGCGACGUUAAACGAAGCGCUUCGCGGGAGGCAACCCACACAUUUUAAAUUUAAUCAUUUAUGUGUGUUUGUAGGUUUAUACAGGAGCUCUACAAGGAGGGAGCAUCACGUCAACAAAUGUCUAAGUCAUGCAAAAAGGAUAAUCAACGUGGCCAGAGGUACCGGCAGUUGAACAGGAGAAAAAGGCAAAAAAAAUGACCAAAAGAGCAGCCUGACACGGCCACUCGUGUCAGCUGACACGGGUCGUGUCAGGAGAGUGCAAAAUCAGGCAAAAUAUGGAGAAACAGUGGCCUGACACGGGUCAUGUGAGGAACACUAAAGGUGAAAGGAAAUUUUAUUUAUCAAUAGUAGCCUGACACGGGCGGCCGUGUCAGCUGACACGGGCGGCCGUGUCAGCUGACACGGGCCGUGUCAGGAGCACUGAAGAUAAUGCCCAAACCAUGGGGAAGGAUAGUAGCCUGACACGGCCGUGUCAGGCAGGCGGAAAUUUUGAAUUUUUUUUGGAAUUCCGAAUUUUAAGUGGGACCUACACAUUUAAUCCACCAUUAACCAUAAUUUUGCCCAUUCACCUUAUCAUUAUCAGGUUUUCUCUUAUCAUCUCAUCAUUCUCUCUCAUCAUUCUUGCUCUCUUUCUCUCAAAACCUUCCAACCUCCAUUAAAACUCAUAAACCCCACUACCUAAAACCUUCCAUAACCCACACUUCCACUCACCUAUCGCAACAACACCCUUCGCCAAUGUUACUCAAUUCGCCGUCCCCGUUCUAACCACAGUUUCGGAAUUUCCUAACUCUAUAUUUCAAAUAAUUCUAUUUUUACAGGUCCAAAAUGCCCCCGAGGAGAAUUCUCACUGGAAAGCAGCAACUCGUGGAGAUGACGAAGUCACGAAAGCGCCCGAGUCGGAAUCCAAAUCCACACAACAUCGUGUUUGACAAUCUGAAACAAGAAAAGAGAUAUCAAAUUCACCGGAAGCGCAAACACACGCCAACAAGGUACAUGUCUGAGCAUACUCUAAACGCACUAGGGCUCAAAAUGGAGGUAUUCCAGAUGUUCCACGUUUUAGGAAUGCUAGAGUUCAUGAGUCUGGAAGCUCCGACAUACGAGCGCAUCACUCUCGAAUUCCUCAGCACGUUGGAAUUCCAGGUUAAGAAGCGGUGGAUAGACACGACUAGGUAUUAUUUCGGCACUUUGCGUUUCCGGUUGUUUAAUAAUUAUCAUGAAUUGUCUAUUGAGGAGUUAGCAGCGAUAAUCCGACUCCCUCUAUACGGACUAGGAGCAGUCCCAUAUGGGUUCUCACCUAAGGAUUUCUGGAUUGCCAUCACCGGAAGGACGGAUUACACCUCCAAAGGUGCUAAGGCCUCAGGCAUCCAGAAUCCAUGUUUCGGGUAUGCUCAGAAGGGUUUGGCCUACACCCUGUUUGGAAGAGGCGAUAGCACAGGGGUAGCUACUCAGAGAGAACUAUUCUUUAUGUACUCGAUGGCACAAAACAAGGCCAUCAAUGUAGCUGCCUUUGCAGCGGACUAUCUGGGAAGAGUAGGCCGAGCCGACUCUGGACGCAUAUUCAUAGGUGGAAUGAUCACCCAAAUCGCUGAGCAUUUCAGGUAUCAAGCUGUUUUACUCAAAGACACGCCAAUUGCAGGUAAGACCAAAACUGACAUGUCUGAUCUAAUUUCACAAGGUAUGAUUGUUGUUACCCCUACUUACUAUUAUGUGCUUAUCCAUAAGAGGUUUAUUAUCUCUCUUCUGGAUUCGAACAGAGUUGCUAUUACUUACUGUGCCAAUUGGCUGUAUGUGUGCGUUGACCCCGACGUGGAGGAAGGCCACGACACUGACCAUUUUACUACAGGUGAUCAGUUUAUAGAUGACCAGGUGGAGGGCACGGAGGCAGAAGAAGAAGAACCUCAAGCACCUCAAGAACAGUUUGUACCACCACAUCAGGAACCUACCCAGCAGGAGGCAGGUUCAUCUUCUUGGUCCACUGACCAAUGGACUUGGGUACAAACCGAAAUAGGUGACUUGAGGACGGAACAAAAACGGCAAGGCAUUGAGCAAACCCGUCAGGGGAUGUUGGAUGAGAUAAGCAGCAUGGUGCGACAGUUGAUGCUGCAUUUUCCACAACCUCCUCCUCAGUAGGAUACUGUGAGUAUCCUCCUUCGCUCUUGUUGACAAAUAUUGUGGACAAUGUUGAGUUUAAGUGUGGGGGAGAUUUUUUGUCUUUUAUUGUUAUUCUAUUUUCAGUAUUUUGUUAUUUUAUCUCAUUAUUUUGUUAUUUUACUUUUGUGCAUUCUAGAUUUGGUUUUUCUGUUUGAAGGUACAUUAUGCUGCGAGUGUUUCAAGUCUAUGUUGAUAGGUUGGAAAUAGUAAUGAUCAUGAUUGGGAGUGGAUGAAAGGAUCACACCAUUUACCAUUGCUUGUUGUGGAGGAUCUCCCCAGGAAGUUGACACUGUUGAAAGUAAGAUCGGACGCAACGUAUACAACUUAACCGACACGAGUAUCAUGUACAUUCCGAAGUAAGGAAGAAAUCGCACCAGGCUAAAGAGUACUGUGGAUCCUGUCAAAGCUGGACCAAACAGGGUGAGUCAUAAAAAGCCAAACACAUUGAUCAUCAUGAGCGACAUUCAGGUUUGUCUUUAUCACUCUAAAUUUGCGUAGGUUCUCUGGGACUAUCACUGCAUGAUACACACACUGAGGCACGUUAUUUGGAAUUAACCCCGAGCCUUUCUAUCCAUCCUAAAUAAUGAUAUCCCUUGUUAACCCCAUUUGAGUAUGUAUCCAUUUGUUUCUUUAAAACCCCAUAAAUGUACCCCUUGGCCAAAACACUUCCUUACCCUGUUCAGAGUCAUGUUAAUGCAUUUAACUGUGUUGAAAAGCUAAGUUUGGGGUAAAAACCCCAAAAGCUUCCGAAGCCUAAGAAAGUGCGAUAAUAAAAAGAAAAAAUGAAUGAAAUAGGAAAUCAUCGAGAGAAAUAAAAAAAGAAAGAGAAAAAAUUUAUAACUCGAAGAUUCAAAAAGAAGCACGAAAAAGGGCAUUCGAUGGAAAAAUAGAAAAAAGAAAAUCGAGAAAACAAAAGAAACAAACACAGUAUGUAACAUCGACUCUGAACCAAAAACCCACUUGUUUCCCGUUUUUGUUUGAAUAAUCAAUACCCUAACCCAAGCCAAGUUACAACCCUAAAGACCUCAAUAGUGUGUGUGUUGUGUGUAUGUGAUAUGAAAAGAGAGACUAUUCAAACUUGCGAGUUGAUAUUGCAUACUCUGAAUUAUGAGUGAAAACACUUAACCCCGAGAGAAUUGGAGAGAAUUAGUGAGAAUGUGAUAUAAGCUGACAGGUGAAACGGUGCUUUGAAGUGGGAGUGCGUUUGAAAACUUACAAGGAGAAAGCAAGACUUAUGGAAGGAAAAGGGAAGACGUUAGCGAAUGAUCUCAGCAGUGUUGGGAAACAUAAAGAAUUCAGGGGAGUGACACACAGUGUUGUCUGAAACAUUACUUGCGGACAAGCAAUGAGCUAAGUUUGGGGUUAUGAUCAGUCACCAUUUGCAUUAAGUUUUCGUUACUGAUCCGACAAGAAACCGAGGCUUUUGAAACACUGUGCAAGCACUUUUGAUACUUUUCGAGUAAGUUUUACUUUCAGUAUUAUAUUUAAGCAUUUUCAGUCAUUUUUAUAUUUAAUUAUAUUUUCGUGAUUUUGUGCGUGGGAUAGCUAUGUUUUUGUCCGACAGGUCUAGGUAGAAGAACCGGGGAACUCAGAACGAGACAAUGCGAGAUUUCGGCAAGCAGAGGAGCAGAAAAUCCCAGUAUAGGAGGCCAGACACGGCCACCCAUGUCACCUGACAUGGGCCGUGUCAGGUAGAGGACGACGUGUUGAAAAAUACAGUGGCUUGACACGGCUACCCGUGUCAGGCACCAUAUCCAGCUGUGUCACCCAUGCCAGGCGCGUGUCAGCCAGGAUAAUAGGCUGACACGGCCACCCGUGUUAAAAUACAGUGGCUUGACACGGCUACCCGUGUCAGGCACCAUAUCCAGCUGUGUCACCCAUGCCAGGCGCGUGUCAGCCAGGAUAAUAGGCUGACACGGCCACCCGUGUUAGCCCAAGCCCAAAAAUUCAGUUUUCUUGGGCUUUUAUUCGUCGGGCUUUUUCAGAGAUAUUUUUGGACAUGUCCAACUGCUGCUUGGAAUUUUCACUAUAAAAGAGGACCUUCUGCCUAAGGAAAAUCAUCUUGGAAUACGGCAAAAUACAGUAUUGUGAAGCAAUAUAGUAUUAUAAAGAGGAAGGCAUUCGGAGAGCUGAAGGUUUUCAUGAGCGGGAGCGGUUGAAGAUCAAAGUCAUCCAAUUACUUGUAAUGUGUAAUUUUUAUCUUGCAUUUGUUUUAAACAAUAUGAGUAGCUAAACCCCCCAAUGCUAGGGGUUGUCCCUGAUUUAGAGUUGUAACGAAUUUGAGUUUACAUUUGCAUUUAUAAUAUUAUUUUUACGGUAACCUUUUGAUGUGUUUAUUGCUUUCUCUUUCGGACCAAUCGAGAUUGACUUGUGGUAAUCAAUUAGGCUGGACCGUCAUUGAUAAGGUUUUCAUAAGGUUACUCUACAGUAGAUAUCACCUAGGACUAGGGAUACCCUGUAUGAACCAGAGUAUUCUUGGUAUUAUAAACCUUAACUUCACCUUAAUUGGCUAUGGACAUAGAAAUUAGCGUAGAUUGAUUAAAGGUUUUCUCACCAAGGACAUGGGAGAAAAUACCCGUAAGAACUGGUAGUAAUUGAUAUUUGUUGAUGCAAUAGUGACUCAGAGCUGUUACAAAGAUAAAUUAUACACCUUCCCUGGCAUUGUUCCUUUUUCUCUAUAAACCCUUAUUUCAUUCGUGUUUGCCUUUACCUUUGUUCGUAUAUUUUUACACAUAUUAACCAAAUUAAUACUUUUUGUUUAAUUGAAUGAUAAUUUAAACUCGAUAUCGACUUGUAGUUCUUGAGAUCGACAUUCGGGGAAUUUCCCAUUAUUACUAUAAAAGGCAAAAAUAGUACACUUUCUAUUUUCCCGAUCAUGCUCAUAAUAAGUUUUUAGCAUGAUUAUAUCCUUAUUAGUUAGUUUAUCAAGUUCAUUCUUGAUCAAUUAAUUAAAAUUGAAAUUUGACUCUAUUUUGACUUUGACAUGAACAAUUACAUGCUCCCCAUAGGAUACCUAUUCAGUCAAGUGAUCAUAAGUCCCUUGAUCACUUGAUUAAAUUGUGACCUUUACACUUGCAUAUGCAUUCAAGUCAUACUCAAGUUCAAGACUGUACAUGCAAGACUCUGAAGACAAAAGUACAUCAAGACCUUGAUCAUUUCUAAGCUUCAUCAUUCAAGCACACUUUGCCCUUUGCAAAACAAAAGACUUUUCUCUUCCAAAACACUUGUCAGUUAUGAUGCGAAUUAUGCGCCAUAAGCCUUAAGAAAUGGAGAAGAAUGUGAUGGCUCAUCCCUAUCCUUAUUCUGAAUAGCUUUGAAUACAGGACGUAGACCCCAAUUAUUAAAAUUAUUCACCUUCAUUCAUAGUCUUUAGUGCAAUUUAAAUCAAGACAGUAUUUUCAAAUUUAAAAUCAAUCUUAACCCAUCAAAUUCAAUUAUUUUGCAUUAGGAUAACAUUUAAAAAGCCCUUUCAAAAAGAACAUGUUAUGUUCGUUCUACCGCAAUACAAUCAACGCUUAAACCUCUCAUGCAUGGGCAUACAAGCUAUGUUAACUGCUAGAAUGUGACCCAAGCACGUCUUUCGCUACAUGAAAUAUACAGAGUCGACACCGAAUUUUAUUUAUUCCAUAGGAAAGGGAAAAUAUCGAUAAAAACCCAAAGGUUAAAAAAAUGGUCUCGCAACCAAAUUCAGGUUCGGAAGUCGGUUAUGCAAGGGGGAGGUAUUAGCACCCCUCACAUCCAUUGUACUUAACGGGAACCAUCUAGGUUGCUUACGCUUGAAUGGGGGUUACUAUCAUAAUUCUUAUUAGCUAAAGGUUUACGGGGUGGAAGUGAGUUUUUUAUUAGUGUGCUCGCCAAGGAUUGACCCCUCGUUCCUACGUAUGCUCACUUGUUGAAGUGAGAAAUCAGAGUCUCGUAGUUCGUGGUAAAAAUGUUUGUUUGUUGGUUGUUCUUACCUUGAAAAUGGGUUUUCGGAGUGAUGCCCUAAGACACAAAAAUAACUUUUAUGAGUUGAUUUUGUUUUUCUGUUUUGAAAAGAAAUAUUAUUUGACUUUGGAUUGAACUAAAGACUAUGAGUGAAGGUGAAUACCCAAACACACAGUCCAAGCAUCAUGGGUUCAAAAUACUCAUAAUAAAGGUAGGAAAGCUCCAUUCACAUUCCUUCUCCAUUGCUUAAGGCCCGUGGAAUACAAUCCUAAGCAUAUUUUAUGGUGUUUUGAUUUGGUUUGAGAAAAUGUUGCUUGACGUUGGAUGAAGGGUUUGUUUUAUUAUUUUGAAAUGGUGACAAUCCUAAUUCCUAAGGUUGAAUAGAAAGCAACAACAAAACAAAGGAAAGUGAGGGGAAAAAUUACACCUGGGGAGAGGGAUACAUGAAAAAUACAAGGGAGUAAUGCAAGAAAUAAAGGGUCUCGUUGCAAGGUAGCCCAAGAGAAAGUCUUGUGUGUGUUGUGUCCUAAGCUAACAAGUGGAUAAUGGAAUUACAAAGCAUGUCUCUAUAGGGUAGUGCCAUGAAUGCUCUCUUGUAAUAAAAGAUUACAAGUCCAUGAUGAAAAUCCAAUCAAGCAUAGGUCAAUCACAAUAUUCCAAGGUCCAAGCAAUGGUCCUAACAAGUCCUAUAAGUCUAUCACAUUAAGUCCUACACAAAGUCCAUAAUACUCCAUGAUAUGCUAAGGUCAUUCACAAAGUCCAAUGGCCCAUUAUGUCUCAUAAAGGAAUUACUUCUUUUUUAGUCUUUUCAUUUUAUCAUGUUUUUGUUCAUUUUAGAUUAGAUGACUAAGUAAAGAACAAAAGAAAAUGAAAUGAAAACAAUAAUUGUAAGCCACAAAAUAAAUUUCACAAUUUGUAAAUUGGAAGAAAUUAAAUGACAAGAAAUAAAAUGCAAGAAAAUAGAACUUGGGAGUUAGAUGAAUUAGAAGUAAAUAGUUAGUAGUUAAUGAUCAACCAAUCAAUUAAUCGAAUCAGGAUAAUCUAGCGCUAAGUUAAGCAAUUAUAAGUAGGCUUAUGUAAAAGCCAUACCUAUCUGAGGUCGGGCAAUGAGAUCUAUGUGCUCCAACAUGUUAGAGAAAUAACACAAAGUUAUUCUCCUAAAACAUGUAACACUAUAAGAAAAUCAAAACAAAAUGAAAUCCAAAGAAUGAAAAAUCAAUUAAUCCAGCAAUAAAGAAUAUUUGAAAAUGUGAAAUAAAAUCAACAGUAUGUGGUAAUAUUUUCAAGAAUUAAAAAUGAUAAAACAAUAAAAAAUCAUAUAAUAAAUAAUAAAGAAAAUGGAUAAAAGAUAAAUGCAGGGGAUGCAUAAUUGUUAUGGAGGUGUGAAAAGCAAGUUCAAUGGGCCUAAAUGUAUUGAAGCCCAAACUCACGGCUGAAGUAGGAUUCAAGAAAUCCAACACCACAUGCUCUCUGCAUCUCACGUGUUCAGCUUCCUCACCAUAUUCAAAUUCAGUCACAGGAAACACACCGGCUCUGCCAUGCCAGAGCUCAUCGCCGACGGCGGCGGAGCGCUAAUCAACACAAAACCACCACCAAUAUGAUCGUCUGUCAUCGCUCUACUCAAAUCUGCAUCUAAUUGGUUCAGAUUAUCCCCCUACAUCUCAAACCGAACACGAAUACACAAGAACCCUAACUUCAAAAAUCAAAAUUAAGUGCAACUCGUGAGGAAUUGAAACCUCUCACCUGAGGGUUUUUAUUCCUCAAUUCAAAUUUUACAUGAUGGAAACUUCAAUUUGAAGAAAAUGGAGCAAAAUAAGACCUAUCGAAGAAGCUCUUUCUCCGAAAAUGCGAGAAUUCAAUCUCAAGUAAUAUGCUCUACCUCCUCUUCCUCUUACUCCACUUCUUCUUGAUGUUAUUUUUCUGGUUGUUAUUUGUGUAAGAGUGUAGCAGUGAGGGAUAAUGAGUUUAGACGGAGAUUGAGAGAAUUGGAGAAUUUGAGAUUGUUUAUGUGUGAAUGAUUUUUGGGGGAAUGAAUCCAAGAGGAUGAAUGAUGAGUGAAUCCCGAAUUUUAUAGAAGUUGAUCAGGGGUAGAUUAGGAAUGAAAUUGGGAAAUCUGAGUUAGUUAGAUUUGGAUCAAAUGAUGAGCAGGA